rnacentral:rRNA from 1 species
GAUGAACGCUAGCGGGAGGCCUAACACAUGCAAGCCGAGCGGUAUUUGUUCUUCUGAACAGAGAGAGCGGCGCACGGGUGCGUAACACGUGCGCAACCUACCUUUAUCUGGGGUAUAGCCUUUCUCAAGGAAGAUUAAUACCCCAUAAUAUAUUGAGUGGCAUCACUUGAUAUUGAAAACUCCGGUGGAUUGAUAUGGGCACGCGCAUGAUUAGAUAGUUUGUGAGGUAGUGGCUCACCAAGGCAAUGAUCUUUAGGUGGCCUGAGAGGGUGAUCCCCCAAAGUGGGACUGAGAUACGGCCCAGACACCUACGGGAGGAAGAAGUGGGGAAUAUUGCAAGAUGGGCGGAAGACUGAUGCAGCAACGCCGCGUGCGGGAUGACGGACUUAGGGUUGUAAACAGCUAUCGCCUGUGAAGAAGCGUGAGUGACGGGAAUGGGUAAAGAAGCACCGGCUAACUACGUG